GGACCCGCACAAGCAGCGGAGCAUGUGGUUUAAUUCGAAGCAACGCGAAGAACCUUACCAGGGCUUGACAUCCCUCUGACGGAUCGGGUAAUGCUGAUCCUCUCUUCGGAGCAGAGGUGACAGGUGGUGCAUGGUUGUCGUCAGCUCGUGUCGUGAGAUGUUGGGUCAAGUCCCGCAACGAGCGCAACCCCUGUCAUUAGUUGCCAUCAUCAAGUUGGGCACUCUAAUGAGACUGCCGGGGACAACCCGGAGGAAGGCGGGGAUGACGUCAAAUCAUCAUGCCCCUUAUGUCCUGGGCGACACACGUGCUACAAUGGCCGGCACAGAGGGACGCCAAACCGUGAGGUGGAGCAAAACCCCAAAGCCGGCCCCAGUUCGGACUGCAGGCUGAAACCCGCCUGCACGAAGCCGGAGUUGCUAGUAAUCGCGGAUCAGAAUGCCGCGGUGAAUGCGUUCCCGGGUCUU
rnacentral:rRNA from 1 species